UAACGCGUGGGUAACCUGCCUUAUACAGGGGGAGUAACAUCAGAAAUGGCUGCUAAUACCGCAUAAGCGCACAGAGCUGCAUGGCUCAGUGUGAAAAACUCCGGUGGUAUAAGAUGGACCCGCGUUGGAUUAGCUGGUUGGUGGGGUAACGGCCCACCAAGGCGACGAUCCAUAGCCGGCCUGAGAGGGUGAACGGCCACAUUGGGACUGAGACACGGCCCAG
rnacentral:rRNA from 1 species